rnacentral:rRNA from 1 species
CCGUAGCCCAAGAGAUCGGGAUAACACCUGGAAACAGAUGCUAAUACCGGAUAACAACAGAUGAUGCCUAUCAACUGUUUAAAAGAUGGUUCUGCUAUCACUCUUGGAUGGACCUGCGGUGCAUUAGCUAGUUGGUAGGGUAACGGCCUGCCAAGGCGAGGAUGCAUAGCCGAGUUGAGAGACUGAUCGGCCACAUUGGGACUGAGACACGGCCCAAACUCCUACGGGAGGCAGCAGGC